GUUUAUCUUUCUUUAAACAUUUAAAUGAGGUUUAUGAAACAAAGUAUGUUCAAUGGAUGAAUGUACGUAAAUCGAAAGUUAAAAGAGUUUUCAUUGGGUUGUUAAGAAAACAAUAAUUGUUGGAGUUACUCAACGUUUUCUUGAUUUUAAAACGAUGAUUUCAUGAUUAAAAUGUGUCUGGCUGUUGCGGGUGGAAAAGUGGAAUUUGUAAGCAGGUGCGAACUGAUUUGAAAACAACUUUAUUUUGGUUUGAGGGUCAAUUUGACUCAAUUAAUCGUCUCAAUUUGAGGAGAAAAAGAUGGCGACCAGGCCAUUUUUCGAAUAAUGCCAAAAACGUAUUUUUCUUGUUCGCCAUGGAGCAAAUUUAAAAAGCCUGGUUGUUGAAGUUUUGUCACAGAUGUAUUAAUAAGUCAUUUAAAAAUAUAUUCAGAGAUGAUUGAGGAAUGUUUUCUCCUCGGUCAUGUUGUGUUCUGAUGUUAAGAGAAGAGAUGAUGCAGAUAGUCUGAAACGCUCCGUGUGUCUGCUCCUCUCUCCUCCACGCGCGUUGUCUGUAACUCAUGUGACAGUAACUAAAUAUAAGAGAACACGUUUAUCCUGACAGGAAGUUCACACCUGUGUAUUUAGUGGUUCUUUCUCGUGCUAGAGUUUAUAAAGGCACUCUCGUUUGGGCAUGCAUAAUGACGCCCGGAGCUCUGUGGCACAUCUGGGAACUUUUUGCCACAGCUUAUUGCAAACUAAAGGUAAGUGGGCUCCUGUUAGAAACUCCACAGUGUCCCAUCAGAGAGAAGUGUGGGGUCAAACAUGAUGUAAUGUGAGAGGAUGUUCUGAUUAUAUUUGAUGAAGGUGAAACUACAUGCUCCGAUGGAGUUCCGAUCUGUGUCUGAUUUAUGAGACUGUUACUGUGAUUGGAUGAUAAUCAUCCUCCUUCAAAUACAAACCAUCGCUGUGUUGUGAACUUAAUUUAACUUUUUCAACUGACUCUUAAGAGGCUGUUGACUCACCUUUAUGUCAAACUCAGCCUCUUCACUUCACAGCUCGAGGAUGAAGAAGGAAGAAGACGAAGGUGAAUGUGACCUGCUGACUGUUCUGCUCCUGUUCGAUUCAUUAUUAUCACAUUUUUAAUCACAUUAAUCUGUCUUCAUCCUCGUGGUGUUAUUAUUCAUCUUACUAACCAUCUUGUGUCUCUCCUCUUGUCCUACUCGGCUGCCUGAGGUCGAGUAGGAUCAGAGGACCAGUGGAGCUGCUGCCCUUCACUGCAGGUGACGACCAAUAGGAUCCGAGGACAGCAGGUGCAGAACAUUCAGAGUUUCCAUGAAGAAGAAGUGUUGAGAUCCGACCUGCAGGAGGAGCAGACAGAGACUCAUCGUUUCUGCAGGACAUCCAGGGUUACCGCAACGACGACGAAACAAAACGCCAACUGCAGAGCGGAUCAUUUUUAGAGCGACGGCCACAAGACGAGCUGCAGAGAGAAACUGAGCUGUGUUUUCAUCGUUAAGGGAAGGACUGCCGAUUCAUUUGUGACCAAACCUGGGACCCUUCAGAGAGACGAUAUCAACCAAUCAGCAUCCAGCUUCUAUUUCAACCAACCUUCUGAAAACAUCUGGUUUGGUGUUACAUUCAGUAAAACCUGCAGACCUGCAAAGAAAGAUUAUGAAUUUGGAGUUUUGUUAGACUUUGAGUAAUUUUGUGUUGAAGCAUUCAGUUUAUUAUAAAAGCUUCAACGUUUAUUUGGUUUAUUAUCGCGUUACACACAUUGUGUUGGAUCUGAACUCACCUUUAAAAUCAUCAAAGACAAAUAAUCAAACUCUCUAAAACUUUAUUCUUUAAAGAAAGUUCAAAUAAAUAUCUGUUAGAACUUAAAUAGUCUGAGAUGAUUUAUAUUAAGUUUAUUAAACUCAAUUAGAGUGAAGGUGUCAUCUUGAUGUUGGAUGUCUGGAUGCAGUUAACUAAAACAGCCAGUAGGUGGAGCUGCUGCUGCAGAGAUAACAGCUGACUCUAAGGAGCUGCGGAGGUUUGACCUUUGACCAGAUGGUGCUGCAGAGAGGUGACCCAGAGGGGGGAGAGCACGUGUCGGGUAUCGCUUCAAUCUCUGUUAAAUAACAGCAUAAGAGUGAUGCAGUGAGUUCUUCUCUCCUGACAUCUUUCCCCAGAGUCAGAGUAAGUCAUAUCAUACUCUGUAUACAUAUUGAUCAAAUAUUUUUGGCCGAUCUAUUCCACAAUCUUUCCAUUUUUCCCCUCAUUAUUACUGCACAAAUGGAGCCCUGGUGUACAGCGCCCCCUGCAGGACAACCAUUUUAGAUCAAUGUGCAUGGUCAUAUGUGCACUGCAUACAUGCAAACCUUUUCUGGCUUCAGAAUUCCCUGUUUUGAGUUAUUGUAGCGAGUUGUCUCGACGUAUUAAACAACUAAUCGAACAAAGCAGUCAGAUGUUCUGCUAAGAUCCUCUGUUGGAGGAGUUUGGUUCAACGUGUGAUUGUCUGUGACCUGUCUCUGAUGUGUUUCAAACCAGCUUAUAGUCCCUCUGACUGCGCGUAUGUCUGUACUGCAAACUCAUUGUCCUCUGUGUCAAUGUCAGAGCAGGCAGGAAGGUGACAGAGUGAUUGACAACGCCGUCUGUCCCUUUGACUGAGACAUUUUUCCAUCGAGCCGCACAGUCCGCACUGACAAUGAACACACACACACACACACACACACACACACACACACACACACACACACACACACUGUUCAUGACAUCAGAGGAGGCUUGUUUCAGACAACAGGCUGUGAUUGGCCGUCUGGAGGUUGUAGGUGUGGUCAAAGGAUCAUGAAUGGAUUCUGGGCAAAGAUGUUUAGUCAUAGCAUGGAGACCAGACACAAAGAUGGUGAUCAUUAAGUCCGAUAAGACCCGAUCACCUGAGACAUGUCACAGCGUGAUAAACACCUGCAGCCUGAUUUAUUCUUUGUGAACGUGUCUCGACUCUCUGACUUUAAUGAUGUUGUUGAAAUAGUGUUUCUCCUCCCCUGAUGUUAUAGAGAAAUCUCUUCACCUUUUGGAUUCUAUUAAAACUAAAUCUUAAUCAUUAUACUUUAGACUAAACAGAAAAUUGAAUUAACUGCUAAUAAUAAUACAAUUUAUUUAAAGGAAGAAUGUGCAACAUGUUACGCAAAUGUAUGAUAAAUCCAGUCUCUCCUGUGUAAAUGUG